rnacentral:sRNA from 1 species
AUAUUGUGCGUUGAGUGCAGGUGAGAAGCUGCGUUCAGGUUCGAGCCGAGCGAAGCGAGACAGCGUUGCGCUUGCCGCAACGACCCGAAGGGCGAGGGCAGAGCCCGAGUCAUCCUGCACGACCCACCA